rnacentral:tRNA from 1 species
GACUCAGUAGCUCAGCUGGUAGAGCAACAGACUCUUAAUCUGUGGGUCCAGGGUUCGAUCCCCUGCUGGGUCA